rnacentral:lncRNA from 1 species
ACUUCCCAAACCCAAGAUAAAAGAACUUAGAGUACACAAACUCACCCACCAUCCUAGAUGCUAGCUCAAAUGAGGUUCCUAUUGCUAGCCAAAGAUGAGAACAAACCUAUGUCGCUCCCAAUACUCUCAAGAUUUUGCACAUGACAAGCUAUCAAGAAGAGGCCUCACUCAAGCAAAUCAAUGUUGGUCUCAAAGAAUGGUAAGGGUUUAAGGGUGUGGAGUGCCAUUUGGGUUAACAAAAAGGUAAUGAAUGGAAUAAGGUAACCCAAAUGUGUAUGAGAUCCAUGACUAAGUAUGCAAAUGCCCAUAUGCAAGAGAGAUUAGAUUCAUUAAGUUUAGGUUCAUUUGGAGUUGGUUUCAAGGCUAUAUAAAUCUCACACAGCACAAUAAGUUUCAAGCGGAGCUUUCAAGGCACAAAGCAUACAAGUUUUCCAAGAGAAGUUUAAGCUAUAAGGCAAUCCCAAUCAUUGUUCCAAAUGCAACAUGAAUGCAAUCCUAUAUGCUGUAGACUCAAUCCUAAGGAUGCAAAUGAUGCAACUACAUGCUUGUUUUUGG